GCGAAAACUUUACAAUGCUGGCAACAGCGAUAAGGGAACCUCGAGUGCCAGGUUACAAAUCUGGCUGUCGAGAUGCCUAAAAAGCAUUUCAUAGCAAGGGCCGGGCAAGACCGGUGCCAGCCGCCGCGGUAACACCGGCGGCUCAAGUGGUAACCGUUAUUAUUGGGUCUAAAGGGUCUGUAGCCGGCCGGAUAAGUCUCUUGAGAAAUCUGGCAGCUUAACUGUCAGGCUUUCAGGAGAUACUGUCUGGCUCGAGGCCGGGAGAGGUGAGAGGUACUUCAGGGGUAGGGGUGAAAUCUUGUAACCCUUGAAGGACCACCAGUGGCGAAGGCGUCUCACCAGAACGGACCUGACGGCAAGGGACGAAAGCUAGGGGCACGAACC
rnacentral:rRNA from 1 species